UUAUAUGGUCAAGAAGAGAAGCGCAAACGGUGGAUGCCUUGGCAGUAAGAGGCGAAGAAGGACGUGGAAUCCUGCGAAAAGCUAUGGGGAGCUGGAAACGAGCGAUGAGCCAUAGAUGUCCGAAUGGGGGAACCCGGCUGCAGCGAUGCGGUCAUUUGCAUUUGAAUACAUAGGAUGCAAAGGCGAACUCGGGGAACUGAAACAUCUAAGUACCCGAAGGAAAAGAAAUCAAGAGAGAUUCUCCAAGUAGCGGCGAGCGAACGGGGAGGAGCCUGGCGUGAUUUAUUAUUGAACUGAGUAGAACAAUUUGGGAAAGUUGGCGAUAGAGGGUGAAAGCCCCGUAUACGAAGGUUUGAUGAGGAACUAGGCACGCGA
rnacentral:rRNA from 1 species